rnacentral:rRNA from 1 species
AGCAGUCGCCACGGUAAUACGUAGGGUGCGAGCGUUAAUCGGAAUUACUGGGCGUAAAGCGUGCGCAGGCGGUUUUGUAAGACAGGCGUGAAAUCCCCGGGCUCAACCUGGGAAUGGCGCUUGUGACUGCAAAGCUAGAGUGCGGCAGAGGGGGAUGGAAUUCCGCGUGUAGCAGUGAAAUGCGUAGAUAUGCGGAGGAACACCGAUGGCGAAGGCAAUCCCCUGGGCCUGCACUGACGCUCAUGCACGAAAGCGUGGGGAGCAAACAGGAUUAGAUACCCCCGUAGUCCCUGUCUCUUAUAC